AAACCAUGCAUAGGACAUUUCCACAACAAAUCUUUAAAAUUUUCACAUGCUUCAUACAAGCUUUCAUCAUCCUUCUACUUGAAUGAAGUUAAAUUGUUUUGAAGCUU